rnacentral:rRNA from 1 species
AGAGUUNGNUUGGCUCAGACGAACGCUGGCGGCAGGCUUAACACAUGCAAGUCGAACGCUCGUAGCAAUACGGGAGUGGCAGACGGGUGAGUAACGCGUGGGAACAUACCCUCCGGUUCGGAAUAGCUCAGGGAAACUUGGAUUAAUACCGGAUACGGCUGAGAGGCGAAAGAUUUAUCGCCGGAGGAUUGGCCCGCGUUCGAUUAGCUUGUUGGUGAGGUAACGGCUCACCAAGGCGAUGAUCGAUAGCUGGUCUGAGAGGAUGAUCAGCCACAUUGGGACUGAGACACGGCCCAAACUCCUACGGGAGGCAGCAGUGGGGAAUAUUGGACAAUGGGCGCAAGCCUGAUCCAGCCAUGCCGCGUGAGUGAUGACGGCCUUAGGGUUGUAAAGCUCUUUCGCUCGGGACGAUAAUGACGGUACCGAGAUAAGAAGCCCCGGCUAACUUCGUGCCAGCAGCCGCGGUAAUACGAAGGGGGCUAGCGUUGUUCGGAAUUACUGGGCGUAAAGCGCGUGUAGGCGGGUCUUUAAGUCAGGGGUGAAAUGCCAAGGCUCAACCUUGGAACUGCCUUUGAUACUGGAGAUCUUGAGUCCGGGAGAGGUGAGUGGAAUUGCGAGUGUAGAGGUGAAAUUCGUAGAUAUUCGCAAGAACACCAGUGGCGAAGGCGGCUCACUGGCCCGGAACUGACGCUGAGACGCGAAAGCGUGGGGAGCAAACAGGAUUAGAUACCCUGGUAGUCCACGCUGUAAACGAUGGAUGCUAGCCGUUGGGGAGCUUGCUCUUCAGUGGCGCAGCUAACGCUUUAAGCAUCCCGCCUGGGGAGUACGGUCGCAAGAUUAAAACUCAAAGGAAUGAC